rfam:Danio rerio chromosome 4, GRCz11 reference primary assembly.
GUCUCUGUGGCGCAAUCGGUUAGCGCGUUCAGCUGUUAACUGAAAGGUUGGUGGUUCAAGCCCACCCAGGGAUG